GUCUAUGGCCAUGCCACCCUGAACAAACGCGAUGUCUGAUCUCAGAAGCUAAGCAGAAUCAGGCCUGGUUAGUACUUGGAUGGGAGACCACCUGGGAAGACCAGGUGCUGUAGGCA
rnacentral:rRNA from 1 species